rnacentral:rRNA from 1 species
GCAAGUCGAACGCGAAAGUUUUCUUCGGGAAACGAGUAGAGUGGCGCACGGGUGAGUAACGCGUAAGUUAUCUACCCUCCCAUCUGGAAUAACUCACCGAAAGGUGUGCUAAUACCGGAUACGUUGAUUUAUCAAGAAAGGUGGCCUCUGUUUCAUGCUACCGUGGGGGGAUGAGCUUGCGUACCAUUAGCUAGUUGGUAGGGUAAUGGCCUACCAAGGCAACGAUGGUUAGCGGGUCUGAGAGGAUGAUC